UACGUAGGGGGCGAGCGUUAUCCGGAAUUAUUGGGCGUAAAGAGUGCGUAGGUGGUUUUUUAAGCGUGGGGUGAAAGGCAAUAGCUUAACUAUUGUAAGCCCCGCGAACUGGGAGACUUGAGUGCAGGAGAGGAAAGCGGAAUUCCUAGUGUAGCGGUGAAAUGCGUAGAUAUUAGGAGGAACACCAGUGGCGAAGGCGGCUUUCUGGACUGUAACUGACACUGAGGCACGAAAGCGUGGGGAGCAAACAGGAUUAGAUACCC
rnacentral:rRNA from 1 species